rnacentral:rRNA from 1 species
CGGGGUGCAGCAGGCGCGAAAACUUUACAAUGCCGGCAACGGCGAUAAGGGAACCUCGAGUGCCAGGUUACAAAUCUGGCUGUCGUGAUGCCUAAAAAGCAUUGCAUAGCAAGGGCCGGGCAAGACCGGUGCCAGCCGCCGCGGUAACACCGGCGGCUCGAGUGGUAACCGUUAUUAUUGGGUCUAAAGGGUCUGUAGCCGGCCGGGUAAGUCUCUUGGGAAAUCUGGCAGCUUAACUGUCAGGCUUUCAGGAGAUACUGCCUGGCUCGAGGCCGGGAGAGGUGAGAGGUACUUCAGGGGUAGGGGUGAAAUCUUGUAAUCCUUGAAGGACCACCAGUGGCGAAGGCGUCUCACCAGAACGGACCUGACGGCAAGGGACGAAAGCUAGGGGCACGAACCGGAUUAGAUACCCGGGUAGUCCUAGCCGUAAACGAUACUCGCUAGGUGUCGGCCACGGUGCGACCGUGGUCGGUGCCGUAGGGAAGCCGUGAAGCGAGCCACCUGGGAAGUACGGCCGCAAGGCUGAAACUUAAAGGAAUGGCG